CUUUGCCCAGCUUCAAAUGUCUUCACCGAAUGGGUGUCUCAUGGCACCUUUCCAUAUGGCUUGCACUAACACAUAUUUCUCAUAAGAGUUGCUGCUCCUAUAUUUUUGCUGCAUGGCCACCAAAAAUAACAAGGUAUUUGGAAAAAUAUGCACGAUUCAUGACAAUCUCCUCUUUAAGAAUAGGCUGCUUGUCCUUCCACCUGCUUUACCUGCCUCUUGUCGGAUGAGGGACUUGCUGGAGGGUGUGCAAGCUGCUUCCUUCCAAAAGGCAUUAAGUUUUGGAGAAGAGGACAGGACAGAGACCAAGCUGGGUAAAUGCGCCCUACGUUUCCCUGCUGCUUCCUCUGUCCACUAUCCACAGGCUCCUGAGGUAGUCAGUGUGAACAAAGACUCGGUCUGAAUAUGAAUAUAAAAGUAGCUGAUACUUCCCAGCCUCACAGGUUGAAAAAACAACAGAGAUCCCCGCUGACAUCUAGAAGAGCAUCAGUCAGAAGAGUGACAGUAACAUGUCCAGUCUCAUCUGUACGCAUGUAUGACACGUCUUUUAUUUGGCCUACACAGAACAGGUUCUUCUCUCUUAUUUAGAUCUCUGGGAUAAAACAACUAAUUCUUUUUCCUUCACACCCAAUUAUUUUUAUGUAUACAGUGCCAUACUUAAUAGGCAAAAUGUGCCAAAAAUCUGCCUCCCUGAUUUUCUCACAGUCUGUACAAAGGCAGAUGUAUUGUAAGUUACAGUAUAGGUUGUGGCAUUUCUCACAAAUGGCUGAGCAUCUAGUCCUACAUCCCACUCACCUGUUUUGAUUAUGAAGUGUUCAAGUUACAAAUGCAUCAUUAAACAUUGCUUUCAUGACAUUAUUACCAGAACAGAUGAACAUAUAAUCAAAAUAGCCUUCACAUGGAUUAGCAGACCUUUGAAGAUGUUCAUGGUAAUUUCUGCAUCAUCAGAGUCAAGCAUAUGUUUACCUGAUUUCAGCUUUAUUUUAUUUUUUUCUGAAAGAAUAUUUAUAUGAGAAAAGCCUGUGAUGAAGAAAAAACCUUCACACCCUGAAAGGAUUGAGCAAAUAGCUGGAUUUAUCAACAGGCAGAGUCAAACACAAUAUUUUGUUUAGUUUUCUUAUUGAUUUUUUUCAGUUGAAUUAAUAUAGUUGGUAUUGUCUCAUACUUCAUAAUAUGGUUUAUUUAAUGUAAGUGCUCUUUAAGAGAUAGAGUGUCAGGAAGAGACUGCAAAUGCAGCCUUGUAGAUUUGGGCUAAGCAUGGUCUUAAUUUAACUGAUUCCUUAGCCAUCUCUCCUGUAGCUAAAGAAAAGGCACCGCAACAUUGCUUUAUUUGAUUGCAAGCUCUUCAGUAUCUUCCUCUGUGUUUGUGCGCUGUCUAGUGCCAUGGAGACUUCUCCACAGUUAAAGCCUGUGGGAUCUGCUACAAAAUAAAUAAAUGAGAAUAAAGGCAGUGAAAUGAAAGGCAUUUUGUAUGUGAAGUUCAUUUUCUCCCCUUCUAGAAAAAGCCAAUACAGGUAUAAAUGUUGACGCUUCCUCAGUCAGCCUUAGUCCUAA